CCUACGGGAGGCUGCAGUGAGGAAUAUUGGUCAAUGGUCGGGAGACUGAACCAGCCAAGCCGCGUGAGGGAUGAAGGUACAGAGUAUCGUAAACCUCUUUUGUCAGGGAACAAAGGCGGGGACGUGUCCCCGGAUGAGUGUACCUGAAGAAAAAACAUCGGCUAACCCGGUGCCAGCAGCCGCGGUAAUACGGAGGAUGCGAGCGUUAUCCGGAUUUAUUGGGUUAAAAGGGUGCGCAGGCGGUCUGUUCAGUCAGCGUUCAAAGCCCGGGGUUCAACCCCGGCCCGCCGUUGAAACUGGCAGUGUUGAGUGGGAGAGAAGUAUGCGGAAUGCGCGGGGUAGCGGUGAAAUGCAUAGAUAUCGCGCAGAACUCCGAUUGCGAAGGCAGCAUGCCGGCUCCACACUGACGCUGAGGCACGAAAGCGUGGGUAUCGAACAGGAUUAGAUACCCGAGUAGUC
rnacentral:rRNA from 1 species